ACGCACACCAAGAUCCACCGCAAGCGCACGGAUCAUUGUAGCUCUUCUCUUAGAGUAUUCCCCCAAGGUUUAUCAAUCCGUGGAAACGAGGUCACAAACCCUAGAUUAACUAUGCAUCGGAAAACAUUGUUCUAGUUGCAAGAUGAUUGUGAACAUGAUCAAGAAUAAACACUUAUCUAGAAGUAAAUUAUCUAGGAUAAAGCCUAGCCUAUGCAUAUGUUGUAGUUCUAGCUAAAUCAGUAAGCAAAACAUGAUUCUCAUUCAAUGCAUCUUUAAAUCUCUACCCUCCGGUCCAACUCUCGAGGAUCACCACCUUACAAGGGCCACACCCU
rnacentral:lncRNA from 1 species